rnacentral:rRNA from 1 species
UACGGGGGGGGCAAGCGUUGUUCGGAAUUACUGGGCGUAAAGGGCUCGUAGGCGGCCAACUAAGUCAGACGUGAAAUCCCUCGGCUUAACCGGGGAACUGCGUCUGAUACUGGUUGGCUUGAAUCCGGGAGAGGGAUGUGGAAUUCCAGGUGUAGCGGUGAAAUGCGUAGAGAUCGGGGAGGAACACCCGUGGCGAAAGCGGCGCGCUGGACCCCUUCUGGACGCUGAGGCGCGAAAGCCAGGGGAGCAAACGGGG